GAUGAACGCUGGCGGCGUGCCUAAUACAUGCAAGUCGAGCGAACAGACGAGGAGCUUGCUCCUCUGACGUUAGCGGCGGACGGGUGAGUAACACGUGGAUAAACUACCUAUAAGACUGGGAUAACUUCGGGAAACCGGAGCUAAUACCGGAUAAUAUAUUGAACCGCAUGGUUCAAUAGUGAAAGACGGUUUUGCUGUCACUUAUAGAUGGAUCCGCGCUGCAUUAGCUAGUUGGUAAGGUAACGGCUUACCAAGGCAACGAUGCGUAGCCGACCUGAGAGGGUGAUCGGCCACACUGGAACUGAGACACGGUCCAGACUCCUACGGGAGGCAGCAGUAGGGAAUCUUCCGCAAUGGGCGAAAGCCUGACGGAGCAACGCCGCGUGGGUGAAGAAGGUCUUCGGAUCGUAAAACUCUGUUAUUAGGGAAGAACAAAUGUGUAAGUAACUAUGCACGUCUUGACGGUACCUAAUCAGAAAGCCACGGCUAACUACGUG
rnacentral:rRNA from 1 species